rnacentral:lncRNA from 1 species
UGUGUCCCCCAGGACACUCUGCUGGUCAGGGGCAGCUCAGUGUCCACCAGGUCAUUCUCCACAGCUGCUCCAGCAGCAAAUCUCUUCUCCGUUGGUUUUAGAGCAGACCACUGAGUGCUUGAUCCAUCUGUUUUCUAAAGCUUGAAAGUCCGCCUCUUGGAAGUGGCUUGUGAUUUCUUAAAAAAAAAAAAAGAACAUAAAAAAUAAUUUCUAGAUUCCUACAACAAAAGAGAGCUACACUAAGAAACUUGUAACUCAGUGCAACACUGGGACUAAAGAUAGCACCAAGAGAAUAUAUCCAACCCUUUUUAUCCAGCCUUUUCUUCAGGAAUCUUACAAGGAAAAAAACAUUCAUCAGCAAGAGUCAACCCUGACGAUAAAAUGCAGAAAUCAGUCUGAGUGUGCUGUGAGAGGCAGGUCUUUACCCCAAACGAGGAAAGGUGACUGUGGUGGUUUAUCAGAUGUGAUGUCGAUAUUGUCCAAGAGCUUGGAGUAA